rnacentral:rRNA from 1 species
CAGUCGCCGCGGUAAUACGUAGGGUGCAAGCGUUAAUCGGAAUUACUGGGCGUAAAGCGUGCGCAGGCGGUUAUAUAAGACAGAUGUGAAAUCCCCGGGCUCAACCUGGGAACUGCAUUUGUGACUGUAUAGCUAGAGUACGGCAGAGGGGGAUGGAAUUCCGCGUGUAGCAGUGAAAUGCGUAGAUAUGCGGAGGAACACCGAUGUCGAAGGCAAUCCCCUGGGCCUGUACUGACGCUCAUGCACGAAAGCGUGGGGAGCAAACAGGAUUAGAUACCCCAGUAGUCCCUGUCUCUUAUAC